GAAUGAGCUAUGAAGUUUUUCCAUCACUCAAUUCCAUGGGCUUCUCAAUUCGCUUGUGCGCACGCAAUGAUAAGGGAGGGAAUCCAUCCCCGACAGGUUGAUGUCACUGGGGAGUUUAAAUAGCUGGGGGAGUGGGCUUGAAAACUACCUGGUGAAUCGCGCUGGAGAACACGCACUUGUUUGUGGACUUCAAUAACGACGUUGCUUUUUUAGAAAACAGGUCUUUUAUAAUAAAAACCUUAAAAACCAGCGAAAAUGAACAAGACUCUGUUUGUCGGGACAUUGGUGCUGGCCUGCGUGGUAAUGGGACAGGCACUGCAAUGUUACAAAUGCGAUUUGGGACUGUUUGGCCUCUGCGGAAAAAGCAUAAUCAACUGCACUGGGUUGCUAGACAAGUGCUUCAACGGGGACGGAAAAUCCGGAGACGUUGUACUGAUCCAGGAGAAGGGCUGUCUGGCACCAGCAAGUUGUAACACGACCACCGACAAAAACGUGUUCAAGCAGAUUGUUUACAGCAUGACCAAGGUGUGCUGCGAUGGGGAUCUGUGCAACAGUGCAGCUACAGCCGGAGUCUCUGCGCUGGCUGGCAUUGGCAUGGUGACAGUGUGGCUCACUGGCUUGCUGUGAACUGUCCUGCACUGCAGAACACUGGCAGAAGUUUAUUGGUUAAAGCUACAAGAAUCUCAGACAAACCUUUUGGCCAAUGCCUUCGGCGCGCUGGAACGUUUGUCAGCUUGUUUCUUAUAGUUUUAUGUCAGUGCUGUAAGCCAGUGACAUCAUUCAUAGUAGCAAUGUGCAUGAUAAAAUAAACAAAUGCAUCUUCCUGUGUUCCUACUAUAUCUACAGGGUUUUUUUUUUUUUUUUUUUUUUUUUUUUUUUUUUUUUUUUUUGGAUUCUGAAAGGAAACAUUAAGAGUCAAAGAAUAACUUUUUUGGGGGGGCCUUUUUCAGUGUCUUCCUGAGCUAUUAAACUUUCUUUCUCAUUUGAAUUAAAUCUGUGGGCUCUUCCAUGAAUGUUGAUGGGAGAAUAAUGUGGAAAAGUUGAAUACAAAAAAAAAAAAAAUUUGAUAGGUAGAUUUUAAGUUCUAGAUGUCCUCUUACCCCUCCCUCUACAAUGAAAGCCAUGAUGUGUGCAGAGCCCCCUCUCCUGUACUGUUCUGCACCUGUGAUGACAUUACAAAGGCAAUGUAACUGUGUGUCACUCUAUACAGAGUAACUGGUCGUUUUUUAUUCUUGACUACAGAUACUUUUCACAAAGCAGUUUCUUCACAGGUAAGGCAGAUGUUUGUUUAGUGGGCAUUGCUACAACUCUCAUUUCAGGUAGAAAAAACCUCCCUGAAAGGCCUUUUUAAAGAGCAAAUAGCUUCAUGCCUCUUCCUAUGUUCUGGAGUUUCAGAUCAGUCCGAAUAGUUCUGGGUUCUGUUGCUCCUCUAAUUGUAUUGAAUCCUUUUUUUUUUCUCUAAAUCUGGCUUUGUACUUGUCUGGAGAAUCCCACAUGUCAGGAUUGGAGAGAUUUCCUUGUUCCAUUGAAAUCACGUGACAAUGUGACCUUUCAACUGCGCUGGUCAACAGAGUUGAAAGAUUACAUCGUCGCAUGACCUGACUGGAAUGAGGAAGACUGUUGGUCCCAGCUCAAAAUAGGUUCAAAGCCAAUUGCAAUAGCAAGAUCACAAUAUAACACAAUUUCUCAAGAUAGGGUUAAUAAUCGAGCAACAGAAGUUAGGAAAUUAUUUGACUAACAAAAAGGGAAGUGUAUAAAACUGCCAUUUGAAGUGCUACUGCCUUAACUAGCCCCUACAUAAAGCCCAACUGUUCCUUAUCAGUUCUAUCUCCCUCUGCAAACUAAGUGCUUUGUGAAAUGUAGUCUUAAAUUGUGUCUGUUUAUUAAUGCAUGGAGCGUGCAAAGUGGUGAUCGAAAGAGUCUGGGCUUUUUGUUUGUUUUUAUUGAACUGUGUCCAGAGUUUGUAGUCUUUUUAACUUGUAGACUGGAUGGUUGGGUUACAAAUUGCCAAAUGACUGUUUAGCAUUGUUUGGGGUUUUUCUUUUCUUCUUUGUUUGUCGAUUGUACUUGUUUUGAAGUUGCUGGUUAAAAUAAAUAAUUCCCAGUUAUACUGAA